CGGCCGCUGCAGACCUCAUGCGGCCUGCGGGGACCCCUUCUCCCCUGGCUAAGUGCUCGCCCCGAAGACGUGAUCAAAUGACAAACACCAACCCCCCGCAAAUUCCCAUAAAACUCUAAGACCUGCCCGUGACACGCGAUGGCCGCGGGAAGCCCCCGGUCCAGACACCCGGUCGACAGCCCACACUCUCCCUGCCCCUGGAAUCGGAGCGUCCCUGGUGGCCUUCCGCGUGGACCUGCCCCUGCAGGAACAUUUCGCCCAGAUUCUCGGCCCUGCAGAUACUAAGCAGAACAAGUCCCUUGGUGAAAAAGCAUAAAAAAUGAACAAAGACAAUACUUUUCCAUCAAAAGAAAAGCAGGGAGCUCCAGGAACAGUGCCGGCCGACUUCUCAGCAGAAACUUUGCGGGACAGAAGGGACCGGCACAAAAUAUUCACGCUGUUGGAAAGCAAGGACCUACAACCAAGACGGCUCUACCCAGCGAGGCUGUCUUUAGAAUCGAAGGACAGACAAAGAGCUUCCCGGACAAGAAAAAGCUCAGGGGGUUCACCCGCGCCGAGCCAACAUUACAGAAAAUGUCAGACAGUCUUCUUUAAGAAGAAGGAAAAAAAACAGAUCAGAGAUAGGAGUAAUAAAAUGGCAAUAACGACACAUCUAUCAACAAUGACUUUAACCGUAAAGGGAUAAAACGCUCCCAUCGAAAGAUAGGGUGGCUGAAUGGAUAAGCAAACCAGGGUCCUACAUAUGCCGCCUACGAGAGACUCGCUACAGGCGGAAAGACACACGCAGACUGGAGUAAGGGGAGGGGAAAAGGCGUUUCGUGAAAAGGGAAACAGUCGGACGAAAGGCCAGGGUAGCAGUACUUACAUCAGACAAAACAGACUCGAAGACAAAGGCCAUCACGAAGACAAAGAGGAACUCGGUAAUCCCACACAUGGGUGUUUAUCCAAAGAAACCCAACACUCUACUUCGAAGGGACGAGUGCAUCCAUGUGCUCAUCACAACAUCAUUUAGAGCAGCCACGAUGGGGAGGCCACCUGGGCGUCCAUCAUGGAUGAAAGGAUAAAGAAGAGGCGGUACGAACAUACAAUGGAGUAUGACUCGGCCAUAGAAAAGAAUGGAAGGUCACCACCUGCAGCCUCGUGGAUGGGCCCGGAGGGCGCUGUGCUGAGCGGAGCGAGUCAGACAGAGAAAGACGAACGCCAGAUGACCUCGCUCACGUGUGGGACCCGACGAGCGAAACACAAACAGACUCAUCGAUACG